ACUGGCUUGGGAUAAAGAACCAGUCAUGAUAACUUACUAUUUAAGUGGGCAGUUCUAGCAUUGAAAUUAGUAGUUACUCAAACUCAAAACUUCACGCAUUUAGAGUUUGACUUCAAUACCAUUGAGUUAAAGUUCAUGGGACCUGCUGCUUGCUAUCAAGGAAGUCAUGAGCAGACAAUAGAAAGCUAAAAGCAAGGGGCAAGGGAUGUUUUCAGUAGCGCUAAUGGCUGUGUGAUCGAGAGUCUUCUUUAAUGAUUUGAGUGGUGUAGCUAUGCCUAGCCUUUAUUUCAUGCAGUCUUGAGAAAUUAGCCGUAGUUGGGGGAGGAGGCGGGUGGGAAAUCAAGUGGAUUUUCUACUUGUAGUGUUUCUGCUCCUCGGAGAUCCGAGAGAGGUCCCAAUUUACCCAUGAAUUAUUUUUCAAGUACAAACCAUAAAGUGUAAAAGAAAACUGAAGUUAGGCAAAGUGAUCCCAAGAUUUAGAGCGGGCCAUUCUUUUGAAAAAAAAAAUCUGGAAGAAUGCAAGUAAGAAACCACGUUCCUAUUUAUAAGCCUAACUGCCCUGUAACUGCUAGAACUCUCUAUUCCCCACUUUCACCUUAUUCGGUUUCUUGUCACCAUCUUCUCCUCUGCAACUCCAUUACCUUAACAAAUAAGAAAAUUCUCAUCAAAGGAAAGAAAUUGCAAAAAGGAGAAAACCCCAUUUAUCAGUAGUAGAGAAAAGAUGAAGUGGGGUAGGAAGAAACCGUCUUCACCAUCUGCUACUUCUCGCUCUUUCUUAAUAUCUCAAGUUUUACCCACUUCAUGGCUGACAAAGUUCAAGCAAACAAGCAUCAACUCGGGGCAAAAACAUGCAAAUGUCAAGCAAAAAGGGAAGUGGAAUUCUGUGUAUACAAACUCCUCGCUCUGUGCUAAUGGUGCAGGUAAAAUUUGUGAAGGAGAUGGUGAUGCUUUUUGGAG
rnacentral:misc_RNA from 1 species